UUGAAAGAUUAUCCAGAUGUUAUUAAGUAUUCUGUCAUUGCUAUGGGUGAUACACUUGAGAGGCUGCAAUAAAUAACUGCUUUGAUUACAAAAAUUUUCCUGAUUCACAAAACAAAGUACUUUAGUUCAAUUUCUCACUUGGCACACUCUGUUUGACUCCUCCAGUGAAUUAAAACACAUGAACACUCUCUAGACUAUGUUCCAAUGCUUUGGGGAGCAGGGAGAGAUUAAUAAGACCUUAAACUUCAUGAGGGCAAUGGAAAUCACUCAUUUAACCUUUAUUACAUGCCCAACCAAUGUUCUGGCCAUAGUAGCCAAUCAACUUUUUAAAAUGAAUGCAUUGUGAUUGAAGCUGAGCUGGUGUAAUGCAUCUGGAGAUCCCGUUUAGAGAUGGUACGCUAAUGUAUUAUGGAAGGUCCCUGCUUCCCAAUUUGGAGCAUGGGCAGCAAUAUAUAAUUUAAUUAAUUAAUUGUGUUGUUUUUUUUAUUCUAUGUCAAGCUUUUCCUAAUUGCUUUUACUUUAUUUUUUAUUAUUUUAAUGACUUAUUUAUGGACUGACUUAUUAUAACUGGUUCAUUCUCCAGUAACCAUGUGGCAAAGAGACAAACCAUUGACUGGAUGUUGAGCUGGACCCAAGAUGCAUUUGGGAGGCACCAAUGGGCCAAAGUGUAAUUCCUGAUCUUUCUCCUUCCUUCCUGGCUGCUGACAGGGUUAGAGAAACCAUGGUUUGGGUGGGAAAAUUUUUCUACAACUUGGAGCUCUCCUGCUUUACAUUCCCUAUGAUGAUUAUGACUGUAAAGUAAGGUGUGGGAAUAGCAAAACCCCAAAUUCUGUGUAAACCUUAAGAAGUCUGCUCUUUAAUUACCAUGUCUGCUGGUCUCAGAAACUAGUCCUUGCCAGAUAAGUCAGCAGGGAUAAUCUAUACAUUUUGAAAUGUUCUUUAUAUUUUUUGGUGGAUUUUCACAACCUGCCAGACACAAUUAAACCAAAUCAGGAACCAUAUUAGUUGAUGUUGCCAACUUUUUAUUGAAUUAAAAAGUCACCAUUUAUUAUUCCAGAUCUUUCUAGUGAAAAUAUCUUGGAGUCACAGGUACCAUAUUAAUAGCUUAGUUUUCUUUUUGUUUCUUUUGUUUCUCACCUAAUUUUCUAUGAAUAGAAGGAAAUUUACUGAGGAACCUUCUGAUUUGAAAGAUUCCUCUGUUCAAAUUUUAAAUUGUAAUGAAUUAUGUUAUAAAAGAUUGGUUAAAAACCCAUUGAUUUCUAAAGGGCUUCUAUAGUAGAAAUACAAUAAUAGCCGACAGUUACAUUAAUCUGUCAUGUUUGCAAAAUGCUUUUAUACAUUCCCUC
rnacentral:lncRNA from 1 species